CCUACGGGAGGCAGCAGUCGAGAGGCUUCGGCAAUGGGGGAAACCCUGACCGAGCGACGCCGCGUGAAGGAUGAAGGCCCUUGGGUUGUAAACUUCUUUUGUGGGGGAAGAAAUGCGAUCAGGUGAACAAUCUGGUCGUUUGACGGUACCUCACGAAUAAGCUCCGGCUAACUCCGUGCCAGCAGCCGCGGUAACACGGGGGGAGCAAGCGUUGUUCGGAAUCACUGGGCGUAAAGGGCGUGUAGGCGGCCCGAUUAGUGGGAUGUGAAAUGCCCCGGCUCACCCGGGGACCUGCAUCCCAAACUGUCGGGCUUGAGUACGGGAGAGGAUGAGGGAAUUCCUGGUGUAGCGGUGAAAUGCGUAGAUAUCAGGAGGAACACCGGUGGCGAAGGCGCUCAUCUGGCCCGAUACUGACGCUGAGGCGCGAAAGCUGGGGCAGC
rnacentral:rRNA from 1 species